GCGGGCAUGAUGGAACUGGCAGACAUGCAAGAUUUAGGUUCUUGUGCAGAGAUGCGUUGGGGUUCAAAUCCCCAUGCCCGCACCA
rnacentral:tRNA from 1 species